rnacentral:snoRNA from 1 species
AUUCAUAGCCAAAGUAAUAAUAUACAUAAAGAAACAAUCUCAUGGAAGAACUUACUCUUGCUUAUUGGCAAGGCUGUCCCCUUUAGUUUGCAUCAGAAUCUGAUUUGCACAAGUAACAGUC